rnacentral:lncRNA from 1 species
AGCUUCUAGGAUUCUAUCUAGGAUCACUCUAGCUUCAUUAGCAGGGAUGCGAAAGAAAGAACCUCUAGACAUUGUGUGUAGCAUUUGUUUGUGAUUUUUCUAAAGACCUCGAAAAAAGUGAAAUAAAAGAACAGGGUCUUCAAGAUUAAGGUUUGGACCAGAUUCUAAAAGAUCAGAAAAACGUUUCCAGGAUUUUCCCAAAGUUUCAUUAUCUUUUUGUUUAAAAGAUAGGACUUCGAGUCUAAGGUCGGCUAUACGGUCAAGGGAAUAGAAAUCUAGACAAAAAUUGGCUCGUAAAACUCCCCAUUCACCUUGUUGUUGACUUACCUUCUGACUGUACCAUUAUCUAGCUUCUCCCUUUAAAGAAAAAGGAAAAAGCUUCCAACGUAAGGUCUUAUCAGAAAUGCCUUCAAUGCGAAGACAAUCACAUGUUUGCUCAAAAUCUCUAAUAUGAAGGUAAGGGUUUUCGUCUUCCUUUCCCGAAAAAGAUAAGUUUUGAAUCAUGGCAAUCAACCUAGAACUUAACUUAUACUGGGAUGUUUGGAUAGGCUGUGAUGAUUCCCAUGGUAAAAGGUCAGUUGCUAAAGGGAUUGCAGACUCAUGGAUCGAUUUAGAAUUUUGGUUUUCCAUAAGGUAAGAAUAAAGAAAAAUAAAUAAAGAAUAUAAAAGAUAAGAAAAGAUAAAAGUAUAGAUACAAGCUAAUAGCAAGACACAGGUUAUCUCAGCAACCGUCUUUCUCCCCGGCAACGGCGCCAGAAAUGCUUGUUGAUAUUUGGGAACGCAAUAAGGAAUUGAUCCGCAAGCGCACGGAUAUCGGUGAGCACUUCACCCGGGAGGUUAUCCAGAGUAUCGUAUUUAUUUUUUUACCACU